UGGGUUGUAGCCAAGCGGUAAGGCAUCAGAUUUUGAUUCUGACAUGCGUUGGUUCGAAUCCAACCUACCCAACCA
rnacentral:tRNA from 1 species